rnacentral:tRNA from 2 species
UGUGAUAAGAUGUAUGAAGCAUAUGGAGUUUUGGUUACCAAAGGUAAGUUUAAUUCUUACAUUCACAA